GACGAACGCUGGCGGCGUGCUUAACACAUGCCAGUCGAACGGAAAGGCCCUGCUUUUGUGGGGUGCUCGAGUGGCGAACGGGUGAGUAACACGUGAGUAACCUGCCCUUGACUUUGGGAUAACUUCAGGAAACUGGGGCUAAUACCGGAUAGGAGCACCUGCUGCAUGGUGGGGGUUGGAAAGUUUCGGAGGUUGGGGAUGGACGCGCGGCUUAUCAGCUUGUUGGUGGGGUAGUGGCUUACCAAGGCUUUGACGGGUAGCCGGCCUGAGAGGGUGACCGGCCACAUUGGGACUGAGAUACGGCCCAGACUCCUACGGGAGGCAGCAGUGGGGAAUAGUGCACAAUGGGCGGAAGCCUGAUGCAGCAACGCCGCGUGCGGGAUGACGGCCUUCGGGUUGUAAACCGCUUUCGCCUGUGACGAAGCGUGAGUGACGGUAAUGGGUAAAGAAGCACCGGCUAACUACGUG
rnacentral:rRNA from 1 species